AAAACAGCAAAUAACCACACAAAUCCGGGAAUUCAAAACUUGUCAGUGAAAAUGACGACGUUUAAUUGUGGAUCUAAUUGAGAAUAUAAUCAAAUGCGAGGUAACAAAUUAAAAAAAAUAAAAAAACUGCAUUAGAACGAUGAAAAAAUGGGAGGGGCUCAUUGCGCAAAUUUCCCUUUGAUCCAAAAACGCGCGGAUCUGGUCUCAUCCGGGUCGGGUUCAAGCGCGGGUCAUGGCCACCAAAACGGUAUCGUUUGGAAGGUACUGAUGCAAACUUCAAAUGGCAUUGUUUCAAAAAUCAGCAUAAAAAAAAUAAAAAAAACUUAAACUAAACCUGAUAUGCCAUUUGAAACAAAAACCUAAGCGGUCUCCUCUCGUUGCUGCACCGUUUCGUGCCUUUAACCUCCUUCCGGC
rnacentral:lncRNA from 1 species